rnacentral:rRNA from 1 species
GACGAACGCUGGCGGCAUGCCUAAUACAUGCAAGUCGAGCGAACAGAUGAAGUGCUUGCACUUCUGGCGUUAGCGGCGAACGGGUGAGUAACACGUAAGGAAUCUACCUAUAAGCGGGGGAUAACAUUCGGAAACGGGUGCUAAUACCGCAUAAUAUCUUCUUCCGCAUGGAAGAAGAUUGAAAGACGGCUCUGCUGUCACUUAUAGAUGACCUUGCGGUGCAUUAGUUAGUUGGUGGGGUAAUGGCCUACCAAGACGAUGAUGCAUAGCCGACCUGAGAGGGUGAUCGGCCACAUUGGGACUGAGACACGGCCCAAACUCCUACGGGAGGCAGCAGUAGGGAAUCUUCCGCAAUGGGCGAAAGCCUGACGGAGCAAUGCCGCGUGAGUGAAGAAGGCCUUCGGGUCGUAAAACUCUGUUAUAAGAGAAGAACAAAUUGUAGAGUAACUGCUACAGUCUUGACGGUACCUCAGGAAUCAGCACCGGCUAACUCCGUGCCAGCCGCCGCCGUAA